rnacentral:rRNA from 1 species
GACGGAGGAUGCAAGUGUUAUCCGGAAUCACUGGGCGUAAAGCGUCUGUAGGUGGUUCAAUAAGUCCACUGUUAAAUCUUGAGGCUCAACUUCAAAAUUGCAGUCGAAACUAUUGGACUCGAGUAUAGUAGGGGUAAAGGGAAUUUCCAGUGGAGCGGUGAAAUGCGUAGAGAUUGGAAAGAACACCAAUGGCGAAAGCACUUUACUGGGCUAUUACUGACACUGAGAGACGAAAGCUAGGGUAGCAAAUGGG